rnacentral:tRNA from 1 species
GCCUUUGGCUCAGUAGUACAGCAUCUGCGUUGCAUGCAGAAAGUCCCAGGUUCAAUCCCUGGCAUCUCCU